UGGAUCUAGCCAAAGUUGAGGGUU
rnacentral:siRNA from 1 species